GUCACUCUGGACAUCUAACUUCGGCCCGUGAUCCGGGUCAGGGACAGUGCCUGAUGGGUAGUUUAACUGGGGCGGUUGCCUCCUAAAAGGUAACGGAGGCGCCCAAAGGUUCCCUCAGCCUGGUUGGCAAUCAGGUGUUGAGUGUAAGUGCACAAGGGAGCUUGACUGUGAGAGUGACAGCUCAAGCAGGUACGAAAGUAGGGACUAGUGAUCCGGCACCUACGUGUGGAAGUGGUGUCGCUCAACGGAUAAAAGGUACCUCGGGGAUAACAGGCUGAUCUUGCCCGAGCGCUCAUAGCGACGGCAUGGUUUGGCACCUCGAUGUCGGCUCGUCGCAUCCUGGGGCUGGAGUCGGUCCCAAGGGUUGGGCUGUUCGCCCAUUAAAG
rnacentral:rRNA from 1 species